rnacentral:sRNA from 1 species
GCCGGGUGUGGUGGUGCACACCUAUAAUCUCAGCGACAAGGGAGGCUGAGGCAGGAGGAUCGAAAGUUCAAAGCCACCUUAGCAACAGCAAGGUGCUAAGCAACUCAGUGAGACCCUGUCUCUA